GGGGCCGCCACCUGCUUCCGUGAGCGCGGGGAGAAGCUGGGCACAGCUCGCUUUACUCCCAGUGGAGGGCGGGAAGCAUUUUCAACUUCUUUAAUGAGAAGCAUGUUCAGCCAGCAAAGAAGAAGAAGAAAAAUGGUUAUAGACAAGCAACCAACAGUAUCUGCCAUAGCUAUUUUAUAGCUGUUUAAACUUGGGGAAAUUUGGAUACACAAAGAGAUGCCAGGGAUUAACCUACCCAGAGGAAAGGCCACGUGAGGACACAGCAAGAAGGUGGCCGUCUGCAAGCCGAGAGAGGCCUCAGAAGAAGCCAAACCUGCU
rnacentral:lncRNA from 1 species